GCUCUGUUGAGAAUACUGAGAAAGGUUAGC
rnacentral:piRNA from 1 species